rfam:Triticum aestivum genome assembly, contig: Triticum_aestivum_CS42_TGACv1_scaffold_374055_5AL
GUAGUACUCCCUUCGUCCGAAAAUACUUGUCUUGAAAAUGGAUACAAAUGAAUGUAUCUAGAACUAAAAUAUAUCUAGAUACAUCCAUUUCUCGUACAAGUAUUUCCCGACGGAGGGACUAUGUA